GGGCCUGUUGGGCAUAGGCCAGACGCUGACGCAAUUUCGGGUCGCGUCCGGGGUCGGAGAUGAUGUCUUCGACAGGCUCGC
rnacentral:tRNA from 1 species